GAUGAACGCUGGCGGCGUGCCUAAUACAUGCAAGUCGAGCGAAUGGAUUAAGAGCUUGCUCUUAUGAAGUUAGCGGCGGACGGGUGAGUAACACGUGGGUAACCUGCCCAUGAGACUGGGAUAACUCCGGGAAACCGGGGCUAAUACCGGAUAACAUUUUGAACCGCAUGGUUCGAAAUUGAAAGGCGGCUUCGGCUGUCACUUAUGGAUGGACCCGCGUCGCAUUAGCUAGUUUGUGAGGUAACGGCUCACCAAGGCAACGAUGCGUAGCCGGACUGAGAGGGUGAUCGGCAACACUGGGACUGAGACACGGCCCAGACUCCUACGGGAGGCAGCAGUAGGGAAUCUUCCGCAAUGGACGAAAGUCUGACGGAGCAACGCAGCGUGAGUGAUGAAGGCUUUCGGGUCGUAAAACUCUGUUGUUAGGGAAGAACAAGUGCUAGUUGAAUAAGCUGGCACCUUGACGGUACCUAACCAGAAAGCCACGGCUAACUACGUGCCAGCCGCCGCGGUAA
rnacentral:rRNA from 1 species